UACGGAGAGUGCAAGCGUUAAUCGGAAUUAUUGGGCGUAAAGGGCGCGUAGGCGGGAGAAUAAGUCAGCUGUGAAAUUCCAAAGCUCAACUUUGGAGCUGCAUUUGAAACUAUAAGUCUAGAGGAUUGACGGGGAAAACGGAAUUCCACGUGUAGCGGUGAAAUGCGUAGAUAUGUGGAAGAACACCUGUGGCGAAAGCGGUUUUCUAGUUAAUACCUGACGCUGAGGCGCGAGAGCAAGGGGAGCAAACAGG
rnacentral:rRNA from 1 species